GCGGGUGUAGCUCAGUUGGUUAGAGCGCCGGCCUGUCACGCCGGAGGUCGCGGGUUCGAUCACUCGCGCCA
rnacentral:tRNA from 1 species